UACGUAGGGGGCAAGCGUUAUCCGGAUUUACUGGGUGUAAAGGGGGCGCAGACGGCAAUGCAAGCCAGGAGUGAAAGCCCGGGGCCCAACCCCGGGACUGCUCUUGGAACUGCAUGGCUGGAGUACAGGAGGGGCGGGCGGAAUUCCUAGUGUAGCGGUGAAAUGCGUAGAUAUUAGGAGGAACACCGGUGGCGAAGGCGGCCUGCUGGACUGUGACUGACGUUGAGGCCCGAAGGCGUGGGGAGCAAACAGG
rnacentral:rRNA from 1 species